GAUGAAGAACGUAGCGAAAUGCGAUAAGUAAUGUGAAUUGCAGAAUUCAGUGAAUCAUCGAAUCUUUGAACGCACAUUGCGCCCGCCAGUAUUCUGGCGGGCAUGCCUGUUCGAGCGUCAUUUCAACCCUCAGGCCCCCAGUGCCUGGUGUUGGGGAUCGGCCCAGCCUUCCUGUAAGGCCGCCGGCCCCGAAAUCUAGUGGCGGUCUCGCUGUAGUCCUCCUCUGCGUAGUAGCACAACCUCGCAGUUGGAACGCGGCGGUGGCCAUGCUGUUAAACACCCCACUUCUGAAAGUUGACCUCGGAUCAGGUAGGAAUACCCGCUGAACUUAAGCAUAUCAAUAAGCGGAGGA
rnacentral:misc_RNA from 1 species